rnacentral:rRNA from 1 species
AUUGAACGCUGGCGGCAUGCCUUACACAUGCAGGUCGAACGGCAGCGCGGGGCAACCUGGCGGCGAGUGGCGAACGGGUGAGUAAUAUAUCGGAACGUACCCUGGAGUGGGGGAUAACGUAGCGAAAGUUACGCUAAUACCGCAUACGAUCUAAGGAUGAAAGUGGGGGAUUCGCAAGAACCUCAUGCUCCUGGAGCGGCCGAUAUCUGAUUAGCUAGUUGGUAGGGUAAAAGCCUACCAAGGCAUCGAUCAGUAGCUGGUCUGAGAGGACGACCAGCCACACUGGAACUGAGACACGGUCCAGACUCCUACGGGAGGCAGCAGUGGGGAAUUUUGGACAAUGGGCGCAAGCCUGAUCCAGCAAUGCCGCGUGAGUGAAGAAGGCCUUCGGGUUGUAAAGCUCUUUUGUCAGGGAAGAAACGGGUUUUUCUAAUACAGAGAUCUAAUGACGGUACCUGAAGAAUAAGCACCGGCUAACUACGUGCCAGCAGCCGCGGUAAUACGUAGGGUGCAAGCGUUAAUCGGAAUUACUGGGCGUAAAGCGUGCGCAGGCGGUUUUGUAAGACUGUCGUGAAAUCCCCGGGCUCAACCUGGGAAUGGCGAUGGUGACUGCAAGGCUAGAGUUUGGCAGAGGGGGGUAGAAUUCCACGUGUAGCAGUGAAAUGCGUAGAUAUGUGGAGGAACACCGAUGGCGAAGGCAGCCCCCUGGGUCAAAACUGACGCUCAUGCACGAAAGCGUGGGGAGCAAACAGGAUUAGAUACCCUGGUAGUCCACGCCCUAAACGAUGUCUACUAGUUGUCGGGUUUUAAUUAACUUGGUAACGCAGCUAACGCGUGAAGUAGACCGCCUGGGGAGUACGGUCGCAAGAUUAAAACUCAAAGGAAUUGACGGGGACCCGCACAAGCGGUGGAUGAUGUGGAUUAAUUCGAUGCAACGCGAAAAACCUUACCUACCCUUGACAUGGCAGAAAUCCUCGAGAGAUUGAGGAGUGCUCGAAAGAGAAUCUGCACACAGGUGCUGCAUGGCUGUCGUCAGCUCGUGUCGUGAGAUGUUGGGUUAAGUCCCGCAACGAGCGCAACCCUUGUCAUUAGUUGCUACGAAAGAGCACUCUAAUGAGACUGCCGGUGACAAACCGGAGGAAGGUGGGGAUGACGUCAAGUCCUCAUGGCCCUUAUGGGUAGGGCUUCACACGUCAUACAAUGGUACAUACAGAGGGCCGCCAACCCGCGAGGGGGAGCUAAUCCCAGAAAGUGUAUCGUAGUCCGGAUUGUAGUCUGCAACUCGACUG